UACGGGGGGGGCAAGCGUUGUUCGGAAUUACUGGGCGUAAAGGGCGUGUAGGCGGUUAGUUAAGUCUGGCGUGAAAGCUCUCGGCUAAACCGGGAGAGGUCGUUGGAUACUGGCUGACUAGAGGACGGUAGAGGCGUGUGGAAUUCCGGGUGUAGUGGUGAAAUGCGUAGAGAUCCGGAGGAACACCAGUGGCGAAGGCGGCCACCUGGACCAGCACUGACACUGAGGCACGAAAGCGUGGGGAGCAAACAGG
rnacentral:rRNA from 1 species